CUACGGGUCGCAGCAGUGGGGAAUAUUGCACAAUGGACGAAAGUCUGAUGCAGCAACGCCGCGUGGAGGAUGACACAUUUCGGUGCGUAAACUCCUUUUAUAUAGGAAGAUAAUGACGGUACUAUAUGAAUAAGCGCCGGCUAACUCCGUGCCAGCAGCCGCGGUAAUACGGAGGGCGCAAGCGUUACUCGGAAUCACUGGGCGUAAAGAGCGUGUAGGCGGAUAGAUAAGUUGGGAGUGAAAUCCUAUGGCGCAACCAUAGAACUGCUUCCAAAACUGUCUAUCUAGAGUAUGGGAGAGGUAGAUGGAAUUUCUGGUGUAGGGGUAAAAUCCGUAGAGAUCAGAAGGAAUACCGAUUGCGAAGGCGAUCUACUGGAACAUUACUGACGCUGAGACGCGAAAGCGUGGGGAGCAAACAGGAUUAGAUACCCGCGUAGUC
rnacentral:rRNA from 1 species